CUCGAUUUUUGUCAAGAGAGAUCGAAAGCACAUCAGUGAUCAGUCUCACAGAGCUUUGAUCGAGAAGAGAAAUUGCAGGUAAGUAAGAAACAUCAACUACCUAAUCUUCAAUCAAAUUCACCCAUUAAGACAGUGUGUGCUCAUGAACGGCCAACAACAGUUCCCCUUGAAGUCAUUGCACAAAACAGAUAGAAAAGCUUGUGGCACGGAUUCCAGCUUAGAGGAAGCUAUAAGCUGAAAAAUGUUGCACCUGUAUCAUCAAGCCUUUGAUGCCAUAGACUCAGUAAAUAACUACUUUCUCAGUUUGCUUUUAGAUUGAUACUACACUAGAGUUUUCAAGGUAAUAUAACUCAUUGUACUCGUCUUUUGCAUUCGAUUAACCAUGGUCCAAAAGUUCA